GAGUUUGAUCAUGGCUCAGAACGUACGCUGGCGGCACGCCUAACACAUGCAAGUCGAACGAAGUAGCAAUACUUAGUGGCAGACGGGUGAGUAACAUGUGGGUAUCUGCCCUUUGGCCUGGAAUAACACGAGGAAACUUGUGCUAAUACCGGAUAAGUCUUUACGGAGAAAGCUUUAUGCACCAUUGGAUGAGCCUGCACUUGAUUAGUUUGUUGGUGGGGUAAUGGCCUACCAAGACUGUGAUCAAUAGCUGAUUCGAGAGGAUGAUCAGCCACAUUGGGGCUGAGACACGGCCCAAACUCCUACGGGAGGCAGCAGUGGGGAAUCUUGCACAAUGGAGGAAACUCUGAUGCAGCGAUGCCGCGUGAGUGAAGAAGGCCUUUGGGUUGUAAAGCUCUUUCGUCGGGGAAGAAAAUGACUGUACCCGAAUAAGAAGGUCCGGCUAACUUCGUGCCAGCAGCCGCGGUAAUACGAAGGGACCUAGCGUAGUUCGGAAUUACUGGGCUUAAAGAGUUCGUAGGUGGUUGAAAAAGUUAGUGGUGAAAUCCCAGAGCUUAACUCUGGAACUGCCAUUAAAACUUUUCAGCUAGAGUAUGAUAGAGGAAAGCAGAAUUUCUAGUGUAGAGGUGAAAUUCGUAGAUAUUAGAAAGAAUACCAAUUGCGAAGGCAGCUUUCUGGAUCAUUACUGACACUGAGGAACGAAAGCAUGGGUAGCGAAGAGGAUUAGAUACCCUCGUAGUCCAUGCCGUAAACGAUGUGUGUUAGACGUUGGAAAUUUAUUUUCAGUGUCGCAGGGAAACCGAUAAACACACCGCCUGGGGAGUACGACCGCAAGGUUAAAACUCAAAUGAAUUGACGGGGACCCGCACAAGUAGUGGAGCAUGUGGUUUAAUUCGAAGAUACGCGCAGAGCCUUACCAACACUUGACAUGUUCGUCGCGACUCUAAGAGAUUAGAGUUUUCGGUUCGGCCGGACGAAACACAGGUGCUGCAUGGCUGUCGUCAGCUCGUGUCGUGAGAUGUUGGGUUAAGUCCCGCAACGAGCGCAACCCUCACUUUUAGUUGCCAUCAUUAAGUUGGGCACUCUGAAAGAACUGCCAGUGAUAAGCUGGAGGAAGGUGGGGAUGACGUCAAGUCCUCAUGGCCCUUACGUGUUGGGCUACACACGUGCUACAAUGGUAUCUACAACAGGAAGCGAAACUGCGAGGUUGAGCAAAUCCCUAAAAGAUACCUCAGUUUGGAUUGCACUCUGCAACUCGAGUGCAUGAAGCUGGAAUUACUAGUAAUCGUGGAUCAGCGUGCCACGGUGAAUGCGUUCCCGGGUCUUGUACACACCGCCCGUCACACCAUGGGAGUUGGUUCUACCUUAAGGCAAGGUUUCAAACCCUUGACCACGGUAUAGUCAGCGACUGGGGUGAAGUCGUAACAAGGUAACC
rnacentral:rRNA from 1 species